rnacentral:rRNA from 1 species
UACGGAGGGAGCUAGCGUUGUUCGGAAUUACUGGGCGUAAAGCGCACGUAGGCGGCUUUGUAAGUUAGAGGUGAAAGCCCGGGGCUCAACCCCGGAAUUGCCUUUAAGACUGCAUCGCUUGAAUCCGGGAGAGGUGAGUGGAAUUCCGAGUGUAGAGGUGAAAUUCGUAGAUAUUCGGAAGAACACCAGUGGCGAAAGGCGGCUCACUGGACCGGUAUUGACGCUGAGGUGCGAAAGCGUGGGGAGCAAACAGG